rnacentral:rRNA from 1 species
AUCUAAGCGUGAAGCCCCCCUCAAGAUGAGAUAUCUCAUAACGUCAAGUUAGUAAGACCCCUUGAAGACGACGAGGUAGAUAGGGCAGAGGUGGAAGUGCAGUAAUGCAUGGAGCUGACUGUUACUAAUAGGUCGAGGGCAUAACCAA